rnacentral:misc_RNA from 1 species
UAGAGCCUAAAAACUCGCUAAACCCACUGAAAACUUACCUGUCGUGUUGCUUCGGCGCGUGGCCCCGGGGGGGUCCCAGGCCUCUCCUGCGGGAGGGGUGCGCGCCGGGGGUUACCAGAACCUUUUAUUACAGCAGUCUGAGGAACUACAAAAGAAAAA